rnacentral:rRNA from 1 species
AUGGCGAUCAAGGCGAAGUAUCAAGUGAAGAAGAACUGCAUGGGUGAUCCGUGUGUUCCGAAGACGAUGGCAGCUACCAGUGUGACCUGCAGCUACCCACCUGACAGCCCACCAAGGAUCACAAGCGUAAACCUGUCCUCCAGUGGUCUAAAUGGUGAUAUAUCACCAUCUUUCGUGAAUCUGAAGACAGUCCAAUACCUUGACCUGUCAAACAAUAACCUUACAGGCUCAAUUCCAGAUGGUCUUUCGCAAUUACCUUCACUGACGUUUCUAGAUGUUUCAGGCAACCGGCUAAAUGGAUCGAUCCCCUCUGGACUCCUCAAAAGAAUUCGAGAUGACUCUCUGGAUCUAAGAUAUGGCAACAAUCCAAACCUCUGUACCAAUGCUAAUUCAUGUCAGAUACCUGCUAAAAGGAACAACAAGCUAGCCAUCUACAUUGUUGUGCCCGCAGUUCUGAUUGCGGUGAUAGUAUCAGUGACAUUGCUACUGAUUUGCUUGCUAAAACGAAAGAAGCAAGGUUCAAUGAACAACUCCAUUACACCCCGGAAUGAGACAAUGACAACCAAUGCACCGGGAAACAAUGUCUGCACCGACAGUUCGCUGCAGCGUCUUGAGAACCGUCGGUUCACGUACAAAGACUUAGAGAAGAUAACGAACAACUUUCAGCGAGUGCUGGGACGCGGAGGGUUCGGGUAUGUCUACGACGGCUUCUUGGAGGAUGGCACCCAGGUGGCGGUGAAGCUGCGGUCUCAUUCUUCCCAUCAAGGCGUCAAGGAGUUCCUCGCAGAGGCUCAAAUUUUGACACAGAUUCACCACAAGAAUCUUGUCUCCAUGAUUGGUUAUUGCAAGGAUGGAGAGUACAUGGCACUUGUCUAUGAGUACAUGUCGGAAGGAACACUGCAAGAGCAUAUUGAUGGAAGCAACUGCAACACACCACAUCUAUCAUGGACAGAAAGACUACGAAUCGCACUUGAAUCUGCGCAAGGGCUGGAGUACCUACACAAGGGUUGCAAUCCACCCCUCAUCCACAGAGAUGUUAAGGCCACCAAUAUUUUGUUGAACGCGAGACUCGAGGCUAGGAUCGCUGACUUUGGCUUGUCCAGGGCCUUUGACGACAGCAAUGACACCCACGUGUCCACAAACACGCUCGUCGGUACCCCGGGAUACGUAGAUCCAGAGUACCAGGCGACGAUGCAGCCAACAACCAAGAGUGAUGUGUACAGCUUCAUAGUCGUACUACUGGAGCUAGUCACGGGGAAGGCGGCCAUCCUGCGAGAGCCGGUACCCAUGAGUAUCAUCCAGUGGGCACAAGAGCGGUUGGCACAGGGCAACAUCGAGGAUGUGGUGGAUUCACAAAUGCUUGGAGAUUACGAUGUCAACAGUGUGUGGAAGGUUGCAGACAUUGCACUCAAGUGCACCUCACAGAUGUCGACACGUCGACCCACCAUGACCGAUGUGGUGAUGCAACUACAAGAGUGCAUUGAGCUCGAGAAGGCUCAUGGUGGAGGUGACAUCGCAAGCCAUAGAUUUUACUCUGGCAGCAGCAGUGAGAACCCGAACUUGAGAUAUGAUGCUUACACCACUAAUCAAUCUACUAAUGUGAUCCAAAACAACAAUACAUUUGAGAUGGAGCAUUAUUUGAAGAGAGUGCCGACAAUGGCUACUGGUCCUUCUGCACGUUGA